rnacentral:lncRNA from 1 species
AGGCCACGCCAUCGCCCGUCUCCGACGCCGGAGCCCCCUCUCCGUCGGGCAGGAAUUCGGGCUCCUCCGGCCAACCGCCGGCCUGCACCGGACGCGAUGAAGAGCUGCUGGCCGCCGCUUGGGCGGUGCCUUCCUGAGGUACCGACGGGGAUGGACCAGGCCUCUUCCCCUUGCCUGGGCUCCGAGCCCAUUUCAGAUGGGCCGGGCUGGAUCCCGAUUCCACCAUGGGCAGG